UUCUGGACGGAAUUUUUUUGAAUUGUUCCACCGACGUAAAAUGCAGGGUAUGUGUACGUGCUUAAUGUUAUUUAAAAAAAACAGCCGAUGCAUGUUUAUACAUACAUACAUGUAUGUGUCAAAAAUUUUGUUUGUCAAAUUAGUUUAAAAAAAAAUUUUAGUGAGUGAAGUUACAAUCAAUAAUAAUUCGCGAAAAUUCAUAAGUGUUUAAAAUUACAAAACUUAAAUAUAUCUUAAAAAAAUUGAAUAAAUUAGUACGAUACUUUUAAAUGAAACGUAUACAGAAAUUGCAUUUUAUGGAAAUAUGUAUUUAUGACAUUCAAUUAGAACACACCAAAGGCGUACAUAUAUGUCGUUGAAGAAAUACUUAUUGAGCCAAGACUGAUAAAAUAUUCAAAUUUAUUAACUCCGUUUCCUAUAAAGUUCUGCAAAACUGAAAACGUAAUUUACGCUUUUAUACAACAAAGUGUGCCCUAUUUGUUGUAGCAGUUAUUACAGAUGCCGAAAAAAAUUUUUAAAAUUUGGUACCACUUACGGUCAAUAAAAAAAUGUUUUAUGUCAGAAAUAAAUAUACAAUCUGUAACAGAAAAAGGUAAAAUAAUAAAAUAGAAGGUAAUCAAUUCUUUAAAAAAAAUUUAAAUUUUAGCAAAUAAUUUUGGAAUUAAAGGAACUAAAUUAGUAUUAGAGGAAGAUGGGACGGAAGUUGAUGAAACUGAAACACUGGAGUAUUUUAUGGACAAAACAUUUUUGUUAUUAAAAGAUAACAAAAGGAUUCAGAUUCAACCGUUUUCUAUAUAUUCGUUGAAAAAGUACAAUGUAACACGACACCAAGUUUGGAAGAUGCUUUGGAGAUGAUUUUAAUAUUUUUUUUUCAAUUUUAACAUGUGUUAUCCUAAAGAAGCCAGUCUUACUCUGCAGAGUUUACAACA